CGUGUAGCCGGGAAGGCAAGUCAGAUGUGAAAUCCACGGGCUUAACUCGUGAACUGCAUUUGAAACUGUUUUUCUUGAGUAUCGGAGAGGCAAUCGGAAUUCCUAGUGUAGCGGUGAAAUGCGUAGAUAUUAGGAGGAACACCAGUGGCGAAGGCGGACUGCUGGACGACAACUGACGGUGAGGCGCGAAAGCGUGGGGAGCGAACA
rnacentral:rRNA from 1 species